CUCCUGGUGGCCAAGUUGGCUAAGGCGCGAGACUGUAAAUGUUCUCUUUCAGGGAAAUCUUGAGAUCGGGUGUUCGAAUCACCCCCAGGAGA
rfam:Pichia pastoris GS115 chromosome 2, complete sequence